rnacentral:rRNA from 1 species
CAGUCGCCGCGGUAAUACGUAGGUGGCAAGCGUUGUCCGGAAUUAUUGGGCGUAAAGGGCUCGCAGGCGGUUUCUUAAGUCUGAUGUGAAAGCCCCCGGCUCAACCGGGGAGGGUCAUUGGAAACUGGGAAACUUGAGUGCAGAAGAGGAGAGUGGAAUUCCACGUGUAGCGGUGAAAUGCGUAGAGAUGUGGAGGAACACCAGUGGCGAAGGCGACUCUCUGGUCUGUAACUGACGCUGAGGAGCGAAAGCGUGGGGAGCGAACAGGAUUAGAUACCCCGGAGUCCCUGUCUCUUAUACA